ensembl:lncRNA PMS2P4 PMS1 homolog 2, mismatch repair system component pseudogene 4
AGCAGCCAAUGGGAGCCCAGGAGGCGGGGCGCCUGUGGGAGUCGUGGAGGGAACUUUCCCAGGCCCCGAGGCGGAUCGGGUAUUGAGUCCAUGGAGCGAGCUGAGAGCUAGAGAACCUGCUAAGGCCAUCAAACCUAUCGAUCGGAAGUCAGUCCAUCAGAUUUGCUCUGGGCCGGUGGUACUGAGUCUAAGCACUGCGGUGAAGGAGUUAGUAGAAAACAGUCUGGAUGCUGGUGCCACCAAUAUUGAUCUAAAGCUUAAGGACUAUGGAGUGGAUCUCAUUGAAGUUUCAGACAAUGGAUGUGGGGUAGAAGAAGAAAACUUUGAAGGCUUAACGAUGUCACCAUUUCUACCUGCCACGCAUCGGCGAAGGUUGGGACUCGACUGGUGUUUGAUCACGAUGGGAAAAUCAUCCAGAAAACCCCCUACCCCCACCCCAGAGGGACCACAGUCAGCGUGAAGCAGUUAUUUUCUACACUACCUGUGCACCAUAAGGAAUUUCAAAGGAAUAUUAAGAAGACGUGCCUGUUUCCCCUUCGCCUUCUGCCGUGAUUGUCAGUUUCCUGAGGCCUCCCCAGCCAUGCUUCCUGUACAGCCUGCAGAACUGAUGGCCGUAUAAGAAAAUAAACAACUUGCUAAAACUGCUGAAACUCCCUCUGCUUGUGAGAUUUAAAAAAACUGGCUGAAAUUGGUUGGAACCAACAUGUCCAAUGGAGUCUGAAUAGAAAGAGCUUGCUGACAUCACAGCCCGAAUUUCCACCACAUUUCAUACUAACUCCCCCUGAAUUUGCAUAUGCAAACCACAAGCAAGCAUGAUCAAACAGACAACUGCGCGUGUCCGAGGACUUUCCAGAUCUCCCCUUUCCUUCCACCAAUCACUUACUAAUCUGAGAAUCCAUCCCCUAAUAAAAUCACUGCCUUAAAGCCUGCACAGGAAGACAAAUUUGAG